AAUGAACGUUGGCGGCGUGGAUUAGGCAUGCAAGUCGAGCGAGAACCCAGCAAUGGGGGACAGCGGCGCAAGGGACAGUAAUGUGUAGAUCAUCUGCCCUUCGGACCGGGAUAGCCGCGGGAAACUGCGGGUAAUACCGGAUAACAUCUCCGGAUCAAAGGUGUGAUUCCGCCGAAGGAUGAGUCUACAUCCUAUUAGCUAGUUGGUAGGGUAAUGGCCUACCAAGGCAAUGAUGGGUAGCGGGUGUGAGAGCACGACCCGCGUCAUUGGGACUGAGACACUGCCCAGACACCUACGGGUGGCUGCAGGCGAGAAUCUACAGCAAUGGGCGCAAGCCUGACCGAGCGACGCCGCGUGCGGGAUGAAGGCCUUCGGGUUGUAAACCGCUGUCAGAGGGGAUGAAAUGCAGGUGGGUUCUCCCAUCUGUUUGACAUAGCCUCAGAGGAAGGACGGGCUAAGUUCGUGCCAGCCGCCGCGGUAAGAC
rnacentral:rRNA from 1 species